rnacentral:rRNA from 1 species
UACGUAGGUGGCAAGCGUUGUCCGGAAUUAUUGGGCGUAAAGCGUGCGCAGGCGGUUCGUCGUGUCCGAUGUGAAAGCCCCGGGCUCAACCUGGGAAUGGCAUUGGAAACUGGCGGACUCGAGUGUGGCAGAGGGGGGUGGAAUUCCGCGUGUAGCAGUGAAAUGCGUAGAGAUGCGGAGGAACACCGAUGGCGAAGGCAGCCCCCUGGGCUAACACUGACGCUCAGGCACGAAAGCGUGGGGAGCAAACAGG